GACGAACGCUGGCGGCGUGCCUAAUACAUGCAAGUAGAACGCUGAAGGGAGAGCUUGCUCUUCUGGAUGAGUUGCGAACGGGUGAGUAACGCGUAGGUAACCUGCCUGGUAGCGGGGGAUAACUAUUGGAAACGAUAGCUAAUACCGCAUAACAUUGACUAUUGCAUGAUAGUCAAUUGAAAGGUGCAAAUGCACCACUACCAGAUGGACCUGCGUUGUAUUAGCUAGUUGGUGGGGUAACGGCUCACCAAGGCGACGAUACAUAGCCGACCUGAGAGGGUGAUCGGCCACACUGGGACUGAGACACGGCCCAGACUCCUACGGGAGGCAGCAGUAGGGAAUCUUCGGCAAUGGACGGAAGUCUGACCGAGCAACGCCGCGUGAGUGAAGAAGGUUUUCGGAUCGUAAAGCUCUGUUGUAAGAGAAGAACG
rnacentral:rRNA from 1 species